AGUAAUGUCUGGGAAACUGCCUGAUGGAGGGGGAUAACUACUGGAAACGGUAGCUAAUACCGCAUAACGUCGCAAGACCAAAGAGGGGGACCUUCGGGCCUCUUGCCAUCGGAUGUGCCCAGAUGGGAUUAGCUUGUUGGUGGGGUAACGGCUCACCAAGGCGACGAUCCCUAGCUGGUCUGAGAGGAUGACCAGCCACACUGGAACUGAGACACGGUCCAGACUCCUACGGGAGGCAGCAGUGGGGAAUAUUGCACAAUGGGCGCAAGCCUGAUGCAGCCAUGCCGCGUGUAUGAAGAAGGCCUUCGGGUUGUAAAGUACUUUCAGCGGGGAGGAAGGGAGUAAAGUUAAUACCUUUGCUCAUUGACGUUACCCGCAGAAGAAGCACCGGCUAACUCCGU
rnacentral:rRNA from 1 species